GCCUAAACAUUUCCCCAAAGAAAAAAAAGAAGAAAAAAGAGGGGAAUAUCAAUUGCGUUGAACGAGCUUCACCGUGAUUUGUAAAUUCAAUCAUCAAUUAUUAGGAAGAGAUAAACAAAAGUUUUAAGUUGAGUUGAGUCGAGUGGAGUUGAUUCGAGAGGAAUUGGGAGGGGGAUAUGGCGAUUUUGUACGUUAGGGCGGCGCCGACGACGGAUCUAAACCGGAACACGGAAUGGUUUACCUACCCCGGCGUCUGGAGCACCUACAUCCUUAUACUAUUCUUCUCUUGGCUGAUGGUCCUCUCCGUCUUCGCCUGUUCUCCCGGCAUGGCGUGGACCGUCGUUCAUCUCUCUCAUUUCUUCGUAACAUAUCAAUUUUUUCACUGGAAGAAGGGGACUCCAUUUGCCGAAGAUCAGGGUAUCUACAAUAGGUUGACUUGGUGGGAGCAAAUAGACAGUGGCCAACAACUUACCCGUAAUAGGAAGUUCUUGACAGUUGUUCCUAUAGUUUUGUACUUGAUAGCCUCCCAUACUACUGACUAUCAACAUCCGAUGCUCUUCUUCAACACUGUAGCUGUUUUUGUUCUGGUUGUUGCCAAGUUCCCACAUAUGCAUAAAGUCCGCAUCUUUGGAAUAAAUGCAGAUCAAUGAACUUGUGUCCAUUAAGGAUCUGUGUUAAGGUUGAGCUUACACUCCUACAUCUUUUUGAUUCGGGCUUAGAGAUUGCUGAAGUUGUGCAGAUUGGGAAGUCGGAACUGAGAAGGAUGUCAGUUGAGUAGCUAUUGGAUUUGGUGGAAGCUACUGGUUGAUCGAGGACGUGUAGGUACGUGCGCCAACCGGUAGCAUCUCUGUGCUUUCCCUCCAUUGUACAAAUGGCGUUUUCCUUCAUCAUACAAAUGGUUUUAUUCUGAUGCUUGUCCUGCCAUAGUGGUUGGUGUUAUGACUGAAAUUUUUUAUUCUCUACUAGUACUGAAAAACUUGAUGGUGUUUUCCAAUUUCUGAUUCCGUAUCUAGUAUGUUGUACUGAAAAGGGGGUUUGAACUUUUCCAAACAUACGAUAUGAUUUGAUGUGUUUGUUGAGUAGAA